GAAAAGUAAAUAUCAAACCAUGGGAGAAUAUGGUAUGAGCAUUACCGCCGUCGUUGUCAGCUUCCUCAUCAUCCUCCAUCUGCCAACUCAUUGUAAUGCAAUUGUCAGUAGAACAAACAAUUCCAUUCCCCAAACAGAUGUUGAUCUUGUAGAAUUCGCACUGAAUUUAGAGUACCUAGAAGCCGAAUUCUUCUUAUAUGGUUCUCUGGGAUAUGGUUUGGAUAAAGUUGCACCAAAUCUAACCAUGGGAGGGCCACCCCCCAUUGGUGCUAAAAUGGCUAAGUUGGGUCCUUUCAUCAAGGACAUCAUAUUGCAAUUUGGCUACGAGGAAGUUGGUCAUUUGAGGGCAAUUAAAGAUAGAGUCAAAGGAUUUCCAAGGCCAUUGCUGGACUUGAGUUCAGCGUCAUUUGCCAAAGUGAUGGAUAAAGCAUUUGGUCAUCAGUUGAAACCACCUUUUGACCCUUAUGCUAAUGGCUUGAAUUUCCUUCUCGCAUCCUACCUGAUUCCUUAUGUUGGACUCACUGGGUAUGUUGGAGCAAAUCCAAGACUCGAAUCUGCUGUCGCCAAGAAGCUUGUUGCAGGACUUCUGGGUGUUGAAUCGGGUCAAGAUGCAGUAAUCAGAACGCUACUUUAUCAACGUGCAGCAGAAAAGGUUGGACCAUAUGGAGUGACAGUGGCACAGUUCACGCAGCGCAUUUCAAAUCUGCGGAAUAAGUUAGGACGUGCAGGUAUAAAAGAUGAAGGCAUUGUGGUACCCAGAAACGAGGGUGCUGAGGGUAAGACUACAGGGAACGUGCUUGCUGGAGAUCAGAACUCACUCUCAUAUCCAAGAACGCCCGAGGAGAUUCUACGGAUUGUGUAUGGUGGGGGUAAUGAGAAUGUUCCUGGGGGUUUCUAUCCAAAGGGAGCCGAUGGCCACAUUGCUAAAUCCUUGGCACGUGGCAAAUAAUGCUGUUCUACAUGUUUUCUACUUCUAGAUCAUCAAUAAAGAGGAUUUCACUUGCUUUAUCAUGGAGUCAUCUUUCUCCUCCUAGCUCGUCUACCGUUCUAUCACAAUGAAGGUGUUUUUUGUAACUAUUCCACAGAUAGGCCUCUCUAUUGUAUUCUAUUUCAUCAAUCAAGAAAUGGUGUCUCUU
rnacentral:misc_RNA from 1 species